UAGGGAAGUUUUCGUCAAUGGCGCAAGCCUGAACGAGCGAUGCCGCGUGAGUGAAAGAAGGCCUUCGGGUCGUAAAGCUCUGUUGCGGGGGAAAAAAGGACAGCAUCAGGAAAUGGGUGCUGACUGAUGGUGCCCCGCCAGAAAGUCACGGCUAACUACGUGCC
rnacentral:rRNA from 1 species